GACGAACGCUGGCGGCGUGCUUAACACAUGCAAGUCGAACGAUGAUGCCAGCUUGCUGGUGGAUUAGUGGCGAACGGGUGAGUAACACGUGAGCAACCUGCCCCUGACUUCGGGAUAACCGCGGGAAACCGUGGCUAAUACCGGAUAUGACGCGCUAUCGCAUGGUGGUGUGUGGAAAGAUUUAUCGGUUGGGGAUGGGCUCGCGGCCUAUCAGCUUGUUGGUGGGGUGAUGGCCUACCAAGGCGACGACGGGUAGCCGGCCUGAGAGGGUGACCGGCCACACUGGGACUGAGACACGGCCCAGACUCCUACGGGAGGCAGCAGUGGGGAAUAUUGCACAAUGGGCGCAAGCCUGAUGCAGCGACGCCGCGUGAGGGAUGACGGCCUUCGGGUUGUAAACCUCUUUCAGUAGGGAAGAAGGCCUUCGGGUUGACGGUACCUGCAGAAGAAGCGCCGGCUAACUACGUG
rnacentral:rRNA from 1 species